CCCAAAAAUAACUCCAAUAAAUCCAAACGUGUGUGUGAUGCUUAGGGACUCGUGUGGACAGUGUUUGGACUCUUUUAACAUGUAUGAAUAAUCAAUGACCUAAAUUAAAAAAAUUUGAAAAAUGAAAUUGAAAAAUUCCUACUAUGAUGAAAAAGUAAAUUAACUUAAAAGGAUACAGUGGGUUGCCUCCCACCCAGCGCUAGGUUAUAGUCAGUAGCUCGACUUUUCUGCAGCUGCUUUACUUUGGUGUCCCGAGUUGAACGGUGGACUUUUGGUUGGAGAAGUCAUCGCCCCAGUAGUGUUUCAGCCUUUGCCCAUUAACAGUGAAGGUACAUUUAGUCUCGUGACUGACUUGUAUAACUCCGUAUGGUAAGACUUUUGUGACAGUGUAAGGACUCGACCACUGUGACCGUAGUUUUCCUAGGAACAGCUUGAGUCUCGAGUUAUACAGUAGCACUUGCUGCCCCACUUCAAAUACUCGUCUCUGAAUGUGCAUGUCAUGCCACUUCUUGGUUCGUUCCUUGUAGAGUUUUGAAUUUUCAUAAGCUUCCAUUCUAAAUUCAUCUAACUCAUUCAGUUGCAGUAGAAGCUUUUCACCGGCGGCGCUCAAGUCCAUAUUUAACUGUUUCAUAGCCCAAUAUACCCAGUGCUCCAUUUCUAGUGGCAGAUGACACGUUUUUCCAAAAAUUAGGUGGUAUGGAGACAUGCCUAUCGGUGUCUUGAAUGCUGUCCUGUAAGUUCAUAAUGCAUCGCCUAGCUUUUUAGACCAGUCCUUUCUAGAUGAGUUCACUGUGACUUCGAGUAUUCUUUUCAACUGCCGAUUAGAUACUUCAACUUGCCCGCUGGUUUGUGGAUGAUAUGGAGUAGCGACACGGUGUUUAACACCAUAUUUAUUCAAUAGCUGCUCAAACUGGCGAU
rnacentral:lncRNA from 1 species